ACUCCUGCGGGAGGCAGCAGUGGGGAAUUUUGGACAAUGGGCGAAAGCCUGAUCCAGCAAUGCCGCGUGUGUGAAGAAGGCCUUCGGGUUGUAAAGCACUUUUGUCCGGAAAGAAAUCCUUGGCUCUAAUACAGUCGGGGGAUGACGGUACCGGAAGAAUAAGCACCGGCUAACUACGUGCCAGCAGCCGCGGUAAUACGUAGGGUGCGAGCGUUAAUCGGAAUUACUGGGCGUAAAGCGUGCGCAGGCGGUUUGCUAAGACCGAUGUGAAAUCCCCGGGCUCAACCUGGGAACUGCAUUGGUGACUGGCAGGCUAGAGUAUGGCAGAGGGGGGUAGAAUUCCACGUGUAGCAGUGAAAUGCGUAGAGAUGUGGAGGAAUACCGAUGGCGAAGGCAGCCCCCUGGGCCAAUACUGACGCUCAUGCACGAAAGCGUGGGGAGCAAACAGGAUUAGAAACCCCGGUAGUCCCAUG
rnacentral:rRNA from 1 species